UACGAAGGGGGCUAGCGUUGUUCGGAUUUACUGGGCGUAAAGCGCACGUAGGCGGAUCGUUAAGUCGGGGGUGAAAUCCUGGAGCUCAACUCCAGAACUGCCUUCGAUACUGGCGAUCUCGAGUCCGGAAGAGGUGAGUGGAACUCCUAGUGUAGAGGUGGAAUUCGUAGAUAUUAGGAAGAACACCAGUGGCGAAGGCGACUCACUGGUCCGGUACUGACGCUGAGGUGCGAAAGCGUGGGGAGCAAACAGGAUUGAG
rnacentral:rRNA from 1 species